GCCAGCAUGGCAUAGUGUUUUGAGCGCUGGACUGUGACUCUGGAGAACAGAGUUCAAUACCCAGUUUGGCC